GUUCUCAUUCAGCCACCGGCACGGCCACCCCAGUGUGAUUCCUCAGCAGCCACACAGAAGACAGAUGGUCCAUAGGAGACUCAGAAACAGAGAAGCCUCACGCCAGGUCCACAGAGGCACCCACGCCCGCCAAAAGGAUGCCACGCACUCACCCUGCCCUCUGGGGAGCACAGUGGGAGUCCAGGACACCGCCUUGGAUGGGGUGCUGGGGCCUCUGGCUGCUGCAGCAUUUACAGAGGAAUUGUCUGGGAUGUGCCGGGCCGAGCACUGUAGCUCUCGCCGGUGUCUGCGUCAGCACGCUAGUGACAUGGCAGGUGAGGACCACGGCACCGCCCCUGCGAUCUGGCAGUCAGAGCCCACCUGUGUGUCUGCAGGAGCAUCCCUGACUACACACCACGGGACGGCAGGGAAGGGUCCCUCGGGCCCCACCCCUUUGUUCUUUCAAUGGUAAAGGUUCAGGUCGGUGGACAGACUGGACUUGGAAACACCUUCUUGCGUCCUCGAAACGACGUGGCACGCAGCCAGCUCACAGCACCCAAAGGCACGGGCA
rnacentral:lncRNA from 1 species